rnacentral:rRNA from 1 species
UACAGGGGGGGCAAGCGUUGUUCGGAAUUACUGGGCGUAAAGGGCCAGUAGGCGGCCAACUAAGUCCGACGUGAAAUCCCCAGGCUUAACCUGGGAACUGCGUCGGAUACUGGAUGGCUUGAAUUCGGGAGAGGGAUGCAGAAUUCCAGGUGUAGCGGUGAAAUGCGCAGAUAUCGGGAGGAACACCAAUGGCGAAGGCAGCUCGCUGGGACGGUACUGACGCUGAGGCGCGAAAGCGUGGGGAGCAAACAGG